rnacentral:rRNA from 1 species
UACGUAGGUGGCAAGCGUUGUUCGGAAUUAUUGGGCGUAAAGGGCGCGUAGGCGGCUUUUCAAGUGACGGGUGAAAUCCCUCGGCUUAACCGAGGAACUGCCUGUCAGACUGGAAGGCUUGAGACCGGGAGAGGUGAGUGGAAUUCCCAGUGUAGCGGUGAAAUGCGUAGAUAUUGGGAGGAACACCAGUGGCGAAGGCGGCUCACUGGACCGGAACUGACGCUGAGGCGCGAAAGCGUGGGGAGCAAACAGG